AAAAAAAUAUGUAGAGAGGUGACAAAAUAAUUUAUUUUAUUUUAUUUCCAAAAUCUCAAUCCUGUACUCUUCAGUUAAUAAAAUGGCAAUAUACUGUAUGAGUUUUGGAAUUCCCUGCAUGCCUUUAAAGGUUAGGGCACAAUAAGUGGGUCUCGACACUAAUUUGUCAUAUUUAUAUUUUUUCUCUACAGUGAUCAAGCCAAAAAAGAAGGAUAAUUGAGGAGCUUUUGUCCAUACAAUUUGAUUACAUGCCAUGCACACCUACCUCAGACAACACCCACAACACCAAUGUGGCACAAAUGUCAGAGAAUUCAGAACUGGAGAAACUGGAACGAGUCAUAUUUGUUCGACUGGACAAUGUAGACCAGAAACUGUCAGAUAUCAAAUCCAUGCUUUUUGGUCUUGUCCCACCAAAUGACUCUACCGAUGAGUUCUUUUUAAAUCCUUGCCAGAGCACAAAUGAAUUGGAUGAUGGCGAAUAUACAAAUAAAACUAUCCAUCACCUAAGUCUUCUUGGUAGCAAAACUCUGUAAGGAGGGUGUUGUGCACAGUUGCCACAAACAAUGUGUGGGCAGUACAGUAUGAAGGGUCGAAAGGGAAAGAAAAGACCUGGAAAUCUGCACGGUGAUCAUUCCUGCACUUAGAUCCCCAUUCUUUGCCUGCCUCGUCACAGAAGAACUGACCUAAGAUGGAUCUAGCAGCUGUCAGAAUUCUCCUCCUGAGCAAGGGGACUGUCCAGUUGAGGAUCACGUCCGUGAGUUUUUAGAGCUGGUGAAUUUAGUGCACUACCCAGACUACUCUUUGGUGGUUUUCUUCAGGGCGGGUCUCAGUAGUGCACUAAAGGAGCUAUUGCCUCCAGCAGAUCCUCACUGGACGCUCACCAAGUUCGUGGAGGAGGCUCUGCGAGUUAGCGGCUCGCCUUUCACUGUGGGUGUAGAGGAAGUGGGCUUUAAAUCUCCUCCCACAGUGGUCGCCACCCAGCCUUCCAUACCUCAUCCUUCCACGGCCAACGAGCCAACGCCCACCACGGCCAACAUGCUGGAAGUCUCGUCUGUCCCAGAGCCAGCGUUGCCAGCCUUGUCUGUCCCAGAGCCGGCGUUUCCAGCUCUCUUUGCCCCUUGUGCCCCCUUGGACUGCCUAUUUGCGCCAUGGAUUUUUUUUUGGAGCGUCUGGAAUCCGCUCCUUAAAGCGGGGGCUCUGUCACAUGUUCCCUGUUGUCUUUUGUUUUUGUGCUUCUAUUUUGAAGUUUAGUUUAGUUCCUGUUAGUUUUUCUAGUCCUUUGUAGUUUUAUUCCUUGAAUGGUUCUCCCUGAUUAUUAGUCAUUCCCUGAUUAUUUCACCAGGUGUUCCUCGUUCCUUUGUUUGUUCCCUUGUGUAUUUAAGUCCUUGGUUUCCCUGUGUCAGUUCUUGCAUGUUUUGUUAUGCGCUGUACUAGGUUCCCUGUGUUUUUCUUUAUUCUGAGUUACCUUGUUUAUCUUUGUUUUAUUAAAGCUGCACUUAGAUCCCCAUUCUUUGCCUGCCUCAUCACAAUCCCAACAGAAUUCAGAUUCAUUGCACCUGUAAAAUGAUGGGAUACAUUCUUUAGGACAUCUUUUGUUUUAAGCUAUUUAGGGCUUUUCACACGGUUUAUCCAUAGUUUAAAGGAGAUGUUAAACCAGUGUUAAGGAAAAUUGUGGCCAUUAUAAUCAAUUAGAUUGUAUAUGCUGGUUGUGUCGCCACGUUGCAUUGCACAAACAAUAGAACAGUGUUCCAAAAUGUCAAUGAAAUGCCUCUUUUGAAAAUAAAACAGCAUGCAAAUUAUUCAGAAAUUGUAAUUGUUUAAGUCUACUCAAGUUCGAAGCUGAUUGUCUGUGCUCUAUGUACAUUUUACAAUUAUUAAUUUAUUAUAACCUUUAUUCAAGAUAU